UCUGCCUGAUAGUGGGGGAUAACUUGCCGAAAGGUAAGCUAAUACCGCGUACGUCCUACGGGAGAAAGCAGGGGAUCUUCGGACCUUGCGCUAUCAGAUGAGCCCAGGCCGGAUUAGCUAGUUGGUGGGGUAAUGGCCCACCAAGGCGACGAUCCGUAGCUGGUCUGAGAGGAUGAUCAGCCACACCGGGACUGAGACACGGCCCGGACUCCUACGGGAGGCAGCAGUGGGGAAUAUUGGACAAUGGGGGGAACCCUGAUCCAGCCAUGCCGCGUGUGUGAAGAAGGUCUUCGGAUUGUAAAGCACUUUAAGUUGGGAGGAAGGGCUUUAGGUUAAUACCCUGAAGUUUUGACGUUACCAACAGAAUAAGCACCGGCUAACUUCGUGCCAGCAGCCGCGGUAAUACGAAGGGUGCAAGCGUUAAUCGGAAUUACUGGGCGUAAAGCGCGCGUAGGUGGUUUGGUAAGUUGGAAGUGAAAGCCCCGGGCUUAACCUGGGAAUGGCUUUCAAAACUGCUAAGCUAGAGUACGGUAGAGGGUAGUGGAAUUUCCUGUGUAGCGGUGAAAUGCGUACAUAUAGGAAGGAACAUCAGUGGCGAAGGCGACUACCUG
rnacentral:rRNA from 1 species